UUACGGCCACAUCACGUUGAAAUACCGGUUCCCGUACGUUCACCGAAGUUAAGCAACGUCGAGCUUGAUCAGUACUUAGAUGAAUAACUGUUUGGGAAUACCAGGUGCUGCAAG